UGGAGAGAGAGCCUGGCUGCCGCGGCGGGUGAGUCGGUAACGACUCGCCUGUUGACUGUGGGCACCGAUCGGUGACCCGCGACGAACGUGACUCCUCCCGUCGGGAGGGGCCACGCCCGCGAGGAAAGUCCCCCCACCUGUUCGGGCAGGUGACUGGACGCAAGUCCAGAGCGGGAGACCGCUGGCUCUGGAACAGAAACGACACGUCUCGGUCCGACCGAUGAUGCGUGCGACCCCGACCGCGAGGAAGGGCAGUUGACCCGCAGAGGGUGUGCAGUCUGGCCGUGGUUCGAACCCACGGGUCGCGACGGUUCGUGGUGUCCCAUCGGGAGAUCACACCGGCAGACGGCGCGUGCCGUCGACCGCAAACGACGCGAUCGGCUGCGCUCAGACGACCGAGGACCGAUGGAACGGCGAAUCCUCACCGGUGCAAGUCCGUGCCGUGGUAGCCCGAACAAUGCGGCCGCGCCGCAACGGCACGGACGCUCAGCCGAAUGCCGGGACGAACAGAAGGGGGCUUACUCCUCUCACCA
rnacentral:RNase_P_RNA from 2 species